AGGAUGGGACUGCGACUGAUCAGGCUGUUGGCGGGGUAAUGGCCCACCAAACCAGUAACCAGUUACGGGCCUUGAGAGAGGGGGCCCGGAGAUGGACACUGAGAGAAGGGUCCAGGUCCUACGGGGCGCAGCAGGCGCGAAACCUUCGCAAUGCGCGGAAGCGUGACGAGGUUAAUCCGAGUGGUUCCCGCUGAGGGAAUCUUUUGUCGGCUGUAAAAAGGCCGGCGAAUAAGGGGAGGGCAAGUCUGGUGUCAGCCGCCGCGGUAAUACCAGCUCCUCGAGUGGUCGGGGCGAUUAUUGGGCCUAAAGCAUCCGUAGCCGGUUCCGUAGGUCCUCUGUUAAAUCCAACGGCUUAACCGUUGGCCCGCAGAGGAUACCGCGGGACUAGGAGGCGGGAGAGGCAGGCGGUACUCUACGUGUAGGGGUAAAAUCCUUUGAUCCGUAGAAGACCACCAGUGGCGAAGGCGGCCUGCCAGAACGCGCUCGACGGUGAGGGAUGAAAGCUGGGGGAGCGAACCGGAUUAGAUACCCGGGUAGUCCCAGCCGUAAACGAUGCGAGCUAGAUGAUUCGGUCGCAAAUCGCGAUCGAAGUGUCGCAGGGAAGCCGUUAAGCUCGCCGCCUGGGGAGUACGGUCGCAAGACUG
rnacentral:rRNA from 1 species